GAUGAACGCUGGCGGCGUGCCUAACACAUGCAAGUCGAGCGAACGGACGAGAAGCUUGUUUCUUUGAUGUUAGCGGCGGACGGGUGAGUAACACGUGGAUAACCUACCUAUAUGACUGGGAUAAUCUCGGGAAACCGUAGCUUAUACCGGAUAAUAUUUUGCACCGCAUGGUUCAAAAGUGAAAGACGGCCUUGCGGUCUCUAAUAGAUGGAUCCGGGCUGCAUGAGCUAGUUGGUAAGGUACCGGCCUACCAAGGCAACGAUGCAUAGCCGACCUGAGAGGGUGAUCGGCCACACUGGAGCUGAGACGCGGUCCAGACUCCUACGAGAGGCAGCAGUAGGGAAUCUUCCGCAAUGGGCGGAAGCAUGACGCAGCAACGCCGCGUGAGUGAUGAAGGUCUUCGGAGCGUAAAGCUCUGUUAUUAGGGAAGAACAUAUGUGUAAGUAACUGUGCACAUCUUGACGGUACCUAAUCAAAAAGCAACGGCUAACUACGUG
rnacentral:rRNA from 1 species